UUUAAGAAGUAAAAUAAUUUUUUAUUUUAAAUUUAGAUUAGAAUUUAUCUAAAGAUUUGUACAGUUAUUUCCUGAGACUCAGGGUUCCUUUGCAAUGACGCUUUGACGAAGCUAAGCAGCUCUAUGCAAAAAAUGAAACUCAAAACUUUUCUUACGUUAACUAAAUUGUUUUAUCAGCCUGCCCAUUGUGGAGUGAGACCACAGAUAGACUGGUUCUUUAACAAUUUUAGGCAUGAGUGUCAGAAUUUAAAUUUUACAAAAUAAUGACAUCAGGACAUCUGCUUAUCGCUGUUGCAUUCAACUGCUGCUAUGCAUACCCAUUCUAAUGUGAAAUAGGUAGGUAUGUUAAAUGCUCACAGGAUGAUGGUUGUUGGCAGUAGGUAAUAAAGAUAUUGCAUUUAUCAAUACUAGAAGCUUCAAGUUACUUGUUUUCAUUUAGUUUCUCCUCAUUCGAUAGUGGCAGUACAAAUUCAAUUCGUAUUCAAUUUAAUUUUACAAAUAAUUACGCUUCUUUAUCAAUCAAUAUAAGAUAGUUGGAACACUCCGUUCUACCUGCGAGCCCAGCCAAUUCUAUGCAUGCAUUGUGGCUUCAUUUUCUGUCGUAAUCUUAUUCUGUGAGGUUAUUUUUACACUUAUUACUCUUCUGUCAUAUAGUUAUUGUGCGCUAUAUCAGCUAAUCUUGAAAUUCUGACGGGACUGUUGAUGUGGAUUUAUCAGGGACAAGGAAUUCGCCACUGUGUUGGAUGACUAUAAGGUUGAAUGCAUCACUUUUUAUGUAUGUUAACUAAUGAGAAUUUUGUAAUGUUUAAGGUAAAGUGGAUGAAAUUCACACGUAAAUUGUCCUCCAGACAAAUAGUGGUUCCUUUUGAUAAUUUGGAUUACGAUAUCUCCCCUUCAUUAUAUUUUUUCACGUUGUUCCUAGCCUAAAAUCUUUAAUAUGUGUGUUGCCAAAGAAUGCAAACAUUAUUCGUACUCCUACCAGAGUGACAUUACAAUUGUUGACACUUUUUGUGUGACAUUGGGGGCAUAGGUCCGAGUGAGUGCUGUCCAAGCUGUGUUUGUUUUAGGAGUAUAGUGAUUGAAGAUGACCACAGCAGAGUCUGCUCAGGUGCACCCUGUCUGCACGGUUUAACUGCUAUUCUGUAUGGCUGAUGUCUGGCGGUACCGGUAUGUCGUCUAUGAUAUUGUUGAUUGGUGGAUUCGAGAGUGCGUUCCGGGUUAGAUGUGUGUGUAUAUUUUUGAUGAAGUUGGCUGGGCCUGUAGCGGGGUUAACGCGUCAAGUAUUGUGAGGUAGUGGUUGUAUGGAGUUUAAGCUAUUUUUCUGGGGGUUGGGGGUAGAUGCUGAAAUUGAUGGCAAGGACUGAGAGGGUUGUGGAAUGCUGAAGGAAUUGGGUGCCUCUCAUGUCUAAGUGUUCUUUCAGAAGGACAAGUUUUGUUUCUGCGUGGACGUGGCUGGGCGAUGUGGUUUGAGUGCUGCCAAGUGCGAUUCUGAGUGCUGUGUUUUGUAUGGUUUGUAGGUGUCUGUGAAGUGGUGGUGAAAUUAUGAGUGCCCUGGCUGGACUUGCAUAGUCCAGUACUGAGCGUAUGUAUUGUUUGUACACUAGUGUGAGGGUUUCUUUGUUCUGUUCGAAUGUUGUUGCUGUGAGGGCUGUAAGUGUGUUUGGCCGAGGUCUGCAUUUUUUUAUGUUCUGUAUUUGUGGCCCGAAAGACAUGGAACUGUUGUAAUUCACACCUCGGAUGUUGUUGUUAUUGUGGUUCCCUGGUCUCAUUUUUACAAGAGACCCCCACACCUCGGAUGUUGGUUUCAUGUGUGUGUGGUAUGAUGGUGUUGUUUAGUGUGACUCUGGGUCUGUGUUGAUGCUCCUUUGUGUGGCUUGUUAGUAGUGUGCUUGUUGAUUUGGUGGGGGCUACUUUGAGUCUGUUGCGUGCUAGCCAGCCCUCUAGUUGUGUGAUAUAAGGUUGUACUUGGGUAGAGCAUGUGUUAGCAUUGGUGUGUGUUGAUGUAAUUGUGAUGUCGUCUGCGUAGGAUGAAAUGUGAAUGUUGUCUGGUGGGGCAGGAAUGUCGUGCAUGUAAAGGUUGAAAAGUGUUGGUGAGAGGACUGACCCUUGGGGUACUCCGUUUGGUAUGUUCUUUGUGUGUGAUGACUUGCCAUUAUAGUGUACGAUUGACUGCCUGUUAAGUAGUUGGCAAGCCAGCGUUUGGUGUUAUGUAGUAUUGUAUUGUAGAUUUUGUCUGUGAGUGGGAAGCGUGGGAUGGCAUCAAAUGCUUUGCUAAUGUUGAUUGUAAUCAGGAGUGUAAGGUGCGCAGGGCGCUUGGAAUUAAUGUCAUCUUGUAUACGUUGUGAGGUUGGUGAGGAGUGUGGUGGUUGAGUGAUGAGUUAUGUAACCGUGUUGUGUGGGUGAGAGGUGAAUGUGAGGCAUGGUUAUGGAGAGUUUGAGGCGCUAUACAACUUUGGAUGGUGUGCAGAGCAGUGUAAUUUUCGGUUUCAGGAGGGUUAAGAUUUUGCCAGUUGUCCAGAUUGAUGAUAUGAUGUAGUGGGCGUAAGAAAAGUUAGCUAUAUUUGCGAGAGUGUUGAUACCAUGCAGGUCGAGGUGCUUAAGAUGAAUGUUGGAUAUGUUAUCUGGCCUUACGACUGAAGAAUUUUUGAGCUGUCUUACGACGCGUGAGGUGUCAGAUGUUGUGGCUAGGAUAUAAUUAUUUUCUAGUGGAAAUUUGUGCUUGCGCCUGCGUAUUUGUCUGUCUACCAUGUGCUUUGGUAGGUGUCUGAUGCUGACAUAAUAAUUUAUCAAUAGGUAUGUUGGACGUGAAGGGAUGGUAUCUGAGAUGGUAAUAGCUGAGUGGGAUGGUGUGAGGCCACUGUUGGCAUUAGUGAGGCUGCGGAUUGUUCUAUAUAGUUUUGAGAAGUCGGUGCUGUGGUUUGUUUAAAUAUUUAACCGCUCUGUAAUUUAACCGUGUUCACUGGAGUCGCUCGUCGUGCUGUAGCUCUAUUGUGCUCAUAAAUAUUUCUUGUUGAUUAAGUUUCCGUUCAUGUCGCGGUUGUGUUUUUGACGCUGCUAUUUGCUUUUUACUAGAUUUUUUACAAGUCCCGGAUGUGGAUCAUAUCGCAUCGAGUCAAUAUUUAGAACUCUUGGACUAUCUUGUGUUCUUAAUAUCCAAAUAUGUAUUUACUCUCUGAUCAGCUCCUUCGUAAUUUUUUUACUAAACCUUCCUGAAGGUUUGGCUUUCCUUUAUUUAUGAAUUUGGAAGCCAUUUUGGUGGGUUUAGUUGUGUGAAACUAAACAGGUUAAAUGCAAACGCCACUGUGAGUCGCUCGCGCUUGUCCUAUUUCAUAUGUUUAUUGCAAAUCAUUGAUAGUUAAAUCUCUCAGAUUUAUUAGUUGGCUGUUUUUUCGAUAUUUACAGGAACUGAAAUUUAACCCCGACAUGUUAGCCCAUUUGAGACCAAAUAUUUAAUUCGAAUGUCAUUUUGAAAGUUAUCGUUUUCCGUAUAAAUGAUUAUUGUAUCAUCAGACUGAGUUUAUUCCCUUGCAGAUAGAUUUUUUUAAUAGGCUAUUUAUGUGCUAAGCAGUAGCGGUCUUAAGAUUUAUCCGUGCUAUGCUAGACCCAACCAAAGAGCCGGAGUUCUUCGUGGAGAACGCCAGCGAGCACUACCGCCCCCAGAACUACCGUGCAGACUGGGAAGAACAUCCCGCUCUUAGGGAGUGGAUCGCUCCAGGGAAGAACCCGAAGCGCGCGCGAUGUACCUACUGCGACAUCGAGAUGACGGCCGACAUGGGCGUCUUGAAGAGCCAUGGCAAAGGAGUGCGCCACAAACGCAGGCUUAUGGGCGAGGUUCUGAGCUGCAGUUCGCGUUAUAACAAAAACUGGGAGAAUGACCCCGACUACAGGGACUGGAUAAGACCUGGUCGUGUCGUGAGUCGCGCCGAGUGCGCGUAUUGCGAUGUCGAGUUCGUGGCGGAGUCCACGGUCAUCAGGAACCAUGCCAAGUCCAAGCGCCAUCAUCGAGGAGCGCGUCAGGCCCAGAAGCUGAAGGAGAUCGCGAAAGUUUGGAUGGUGGAGAAACGCGCGUUGGAUCGCCAGUCCUCAAGCGGUGAAUUAGAAAGGAAAUUCAUCCAGACAACUGCAGCCGGUAAUUCUCCAGAGCCCUCAAGGUUGCAAGAUGGAAACAGACCUUCAGACGCGGACAGCGACGGCUCCCCAACUGAUGAAACACUUACCAGCGAUGCCAGAAACAGACGUGCUGUGCGAACUGUUUCCUUUAACAAACAUUUCGAUACGGAGGACUGUGUAACUCUUAUGUACAACGAGCCCGAUCCUCUUGCAGACAUCAAAACUGAACCCGUUAUUUUGAGUGUUCAGGCACUGGACGAUGAGGAGAAGAAUAGCCAAAGUCUGUCUUUAGGUCACGGAAGGAAUGGAGAUACAACAACAGCUGGUUACGAUGGCUCUGCUCGUCAAACUGAAGAAAUAAACUCGCUGAAAGAUUUAGUCCAGCUGGAAAGUCCUUGCGUUCAUUGUCAGAGUUUUCUGUUCGAAGAUGGAAACGGUCGCCGGCUGUGUGUCUCGUGCGAAGUCUUCUACUCUGAUCGCGACUCGAGUGACGCUGCCGGGUCGUGGCUGAGAUGUGGUGCCUCUGGGACAGCCCCCGACUCCGUUCCACCCAACACCCGCAUCCCACCCCUGCCUGGCUGCCAGACUUGUGUGGUGCACGGCUUCGACCUGAGUCCCGAGCUGCAGCGGCUGGUGGUGGCGCUGAGGACGCAAGUCUCCCGCCUGCUGCUCGACGUGACGCUCGGCGCCGACGAAGAGACCGCGCUACUGCGACUCGACAAAGUCCUCGCACUUCUUAUCAAGAUAAAAAAUUUAUGAAAUCUCAUCUUGGAUCUAAUUGAAGAAAAAUUGUUUUACGGAUUUAUAUCUCGUUAUACAGCAGUCAAAUAUACUUUCGUGUUGGCACUCAAAUUUAAAAUAUUUGCGAGGAUGGCAACUGAAGGCAAGUCAUGUGUGGGGGUUAGGUGGUUGAUUAGGCAGGCCAGUAGUAGGGGUUAGGUUGUUGAGUAGGCAGGCCAGUAGUAGGGGUUAGGUUGUUGAGUAGGCACGCCAGUAGUAGGGGUUAGGUUGUUGAGUAGGCAGGCCAGUAGUAGGGGUUAGGUUGUUGAUUAGGCAGGCCGGUAGUAGGGGUUAGGUUGUUGAUUAGGCAGGCCAGUAGUAGGGGUUAGGUUGUUGAGUAGGCAGGCCGGUAGUAGGGGUUAGGUUGUUAUACAGGCAGGGCAGUUAUAUUGUUUUGUAGGCAAGUCAUUUGUGGGGAUAAUGUCGUUUAAAAAGACCAGGUUGUGUUGGUUAGGUUGUUAGUUAGCCGGAUCAUCUGUACUUUCUUCUCCCCCUCUCUUGCUGGCGUCUCGUACAGUUUGUGACUUGUACGGGUGCCUUAGUUUCUGUUCCGUUCAUCUCUGCUUCGUUCUUCGUCAAUGCCAACCCCUACCUUACCGGCGUCAGCAAUAUUGGAUUAGCGGAAAUUUUUAAUCAAUGCCUUCUAUCUAGCCGGCGAUUGUUUUAUUACGCGGUGUGAAUGCUUCAUCUGAAGCGCUGUUAGAAAGAGCUUAUUGUCUACUGUGAUGGCGAUCCUUGAUGUGGGACUGUCCCAAAUGACCUACGAUUAUGUCUAGUCACCGGCUUACGAGAAAAAACUAAUGGAUUUCUCCAAAUGCAAGUUGUCAAGAAAAAUAGUUGAACGUUUUGGCAGAAUUGGAUCAUGUUCAGCUCUAGAGUUCUUACUAAGACAUUUUUAUGUCUUCGGUUUUGACGAGUUAUUUUUUAAAUUAUUUUAAAAAAAUUUCAUUUUCAGGCAAUUUUUGAAGAAUUUUUGACUAUACAGUUUCGAAAUAAUUUCUAAGCUUGCGUUAACUCACUUCUUCGACACGAAAAAUUUAGAUUUCGAUUUACGCACCAUGAAUCUUUGUAGAUCCAUGCGAUGAUGUACUCUGUUUUUUAUUUAAUUUACAACUGUAAGCUAGAACAUUGUACAGAAAUUGUAAAUAACCUUGAAGUAUGUAAAUUUUCAUGAAAUUUGUGAU
rnacentral:misc_RNA from 1 species